ACUCCUACGGGAGGCAGCAGUGAGGAAUAUUGGUCAAUGGGCGCAAGCCUGUACCAGCCAUCCCUCGUUAAGGAAGACGGCCCUAUGGGUUGUAAACUUCUUUUAUGUACCAAGAAUAGCUACGACGCGUCGAGGUCUGACGGUAGUACAUGAAUAAGCAUCGGCUA
rnacentral:rRNA from 1 species